rnacentral:tRNA from 1 species
AUUUCCAAGUUGGUAAAAGGACUUAUAAGAACACGCGGCAACCCUUGGUAAGGGUGAGGUCGGUGGUUCAAUCCCACUCGGCAGCACCA